rnacentral:rRNA from 1 species
ACUGAACGCUGGCGGCAGGCUUAACACAUGCAAGUCGAGCGAGCGGCGGACGGGUGAGCACUGUCUGGGAAACUGCCUGAUGGAGGGGGAUAACUACUGGAAACGGUAGCUAAUACCGCAUACCCUCAGAUGUGCCCAGAUGGGAUUAGCCAGUAGGUGGGGUAAUGGCUCACCUAGGCCACGAUCCCUAGCGGGGCUGAGAGGAUGCCCAGCCACACUGGAACGACGACAGUGGCAAGACUCCGUCGGGAGGCCGCAGUGGGGAAUAUUGCACAAUAGGUGCAAGCCUGAGGCAGCCAUUCGGCGUGUGUGAAGAAGGCCUUCGGUUUGUAAAGCACUUUCAGCGAGGAGGCGUUACUCGCAAAAGAAGCACCGGCGAACUCCGUACCAGCAGCCGCGGGAAUAC